rnacentral:ncRNA from 1 species
CGGGGGUCUUCCCCUCCCCGAUGGGUGUCCCGAAAGGGUCCCCCUCGGGGAGGGGUAUAAGAAGAUUUUCUCCUCCUACGUAAAACAAAAAAAAAAAGGGAUAACAGCGUAAUAAUUUUGGAAAGAUCCUAUUGAUAAAAUUGAUUGCGACCUCGAUGUUGAAUUAAGAUAAAAAUUAAAUGUAGAAAUUUAAUAUUUAAGUCUGUUCGACUUUUAUAAUCUUACAUGAUUUGAGUUUAGAUCGGCGUAAGCCAGAUUGGUUUCUAUCUAUAAUAAA